rnacentral:rRNA from 1 species
AGGGAGUGCUUGCACUCAGCUGACGACCGGCGCACGGGUGCGUAACGCGUAUGCAAUCUACCUCUUACUGAGGGAUAGCCCAUGGAAACGUGGAUUAAUACCUCAUAGUAUUAUAGACUGGCCUCAGUUUAUGAUUAAAGGUUACGGUAAGAGAUGAGCAUGCGUCCUAUUAGCUAGAUGGUAAGGUAACGGCUUACCAUGGCUACGAUAGGUAGGGGUCCUGAGAGGGAGAUCCCCCACACUGGUACUGAGACACGGACCAGACUCCUACGGGAGGCAGCAGUGAGGAAUAUUGGACAAUGGGCGAGAGCCUGAUCCAGCCAUGCCGCGUGCAGGAAGACGGCCCUAUGGGUUGUAAACUGCUUUUACAGAGGAAGAACCCUCCUUACGUGUAAGGAGCUGACGGUACUCUAUGAAUAAGGAUCGGCUAACUCCGUGCCAGCAGCCGCGGUAAUACGGAGGAUCCAAGCGUUAUCCGGAAUCAUUGGGUUUAAAGGGUCCGUAGGCGGGUCUAUAAGUCAGUGGUGAAAGUCUGCAGCUUAACUGUAGAACUGCCAUUGAUACUGUAGACCUUGAAUUAGUAUGAAGUGGUUAGAAUGUGUAGUGUAGCGGUGAAAUGCAUAGAUAUUACACAGAAUACCGAUUGCGAAGGCAGAUCACUAAUACUAUAUUGACGCUGAUGGACGAAAGCG